GCUUUGGGCCAUGAAACAGGGCAGAUUUAAAAGAAAUCAUUUCUGUGGUCACAUCACAGCUCUGCUGGCUUUUAUCUGCAUUCCUGUUCCGAGGAUGGGUGGUCCAAUUCACAAAAUGAAAAUAUCAUUCCAAAGAAAAUUUUAAUUUUCCACCUGAGACACCUUCAGCUGAAAUUAUUUUGUCAAAUGUUACCAAUAUGGUUUACAAGAAAAUAACCCCAUGCAUUGGAAAUAUUAACAAUGCAGUAUAAUAAUAAAAAUAUAGAAAAACACAGAUAAAUUAAUGGCUUCAAAAUUUCCAAAGGGCUUCAAACCUUCCAAAAUCACUUUCUCUUGACAGAUGAACAUGGCUACCCUCCUCACACACUCCCCAAGGAGAGGCUGCUAGAGCCAGACAUAGCUUGUGGUAUCUCCUCGUUAUCUCUCUGCAGCCUUGAGUUUCAUGUCUCAAAUAGGAGAAAAUAGUUACCCUUUCCACAAUUAAAGUGAAAUAUUCUGAGUCCAGACCAUUCCACGUGCCAUCUGUAUUGCCUGCACUGCUGUGAUGGAGCAAUAGAGGCAGAGAGGGAGGGCUCCAUGACAGCAGUAAUGUGAUAAAUUGGUGAUGGGGCUGGAGAACGACACACAAGCCUGCAAGCCUGUGCUCCCACCAGCCUUCAGGGGCCAGUGUCCCCAGACUGUCCUGUCCUGGGACCAUGGGGAAGUGAUGACUUGGGUUGCCUGGUGCCCAUUUCUUUUUCAGGCUCUGGACCAGCACACAAAGGAGAAGUACAGUCAAGCCAAACUCCUGGCAGAAGCAUGGCACCAUCUUGUGCUCUCUUUGUCAUCAAUAGCCUACAUACUUAUGCAAUAUCCUGGGUUAUGCAUCCUGAUACCUGGAUGAACAGAUGAUCUUUGGAAGAUUCACACCACAACUGCUACAACUGGGUUUAAAACAUCUUUUGCAAUCUUUUGUUGGGCAUGUAAUUAGGAAACUUAUCUGGAUUUUUUGAGGAAGGGAAAUAAAAUUACUAUGCCAAAAACUGCUGUCUGACUG
rnacentral:lncRNA from 1 species